UACGGGGGGGAGCAAGCGUUGUUCGGAUUUACUGGGCGUAAAGCGCACGUAGGCGGCUUUGUAAGUUAGAGGUGAAAGCCCGGGGCUCAACUCCGGAACUGCCUUUAAGACUGCAUCGCUAGAAUCCGGGAGAGGUGAGUGGAAUUCCGAGUGUAGAGGUGAAAUUCGUAGAUAUUCGGAAGAACACCAGUGGCGAAGGCGGCUCACUGGACCGGUAUUGACGCUGAGGUGCGAAAGCGUGGGGAGCAAACAGG
rnacentral:rRNA from 1 species